AAGUCAUUUCAAAGAGAGUUAAUGGGACCAAAGCCAGGAGCUCUUAAUACUGUGACCUAGGAUGGAAGUUCUCUAUAGGAUGUAACAGAUACUCAACAGUGCUAUAUUUUCCUGAAGAGAUAUAAGG